rnacentral:rRNA from 1 species
AGAGUUUGAUCAUGGCUCAGAUUGAACGCUGGCGGAAUGCUUUACACAUGCAAGUCGAGCGGCAGCGCGGGGCACCUGGCGGCGAGCGGCGAACGGGUGAGUAAUGCAUCGGAACGUGUCCAUGUCGUGGGGGAUAGCCCGCGAAAGCCGGAUUAAUACNNCAUACGCCCGAGAGGGGAAAGUGGGGGACCCAAGCCUCACGCGAUUGGAUCGGCCGAUGUCCGAUUAGCUAGUUGGCGGGGUAAAGGCCCACCAAGGCGAUGAUCGGUAGCUGGUCUGAGAGGAUGAUCAGCCACACUGGGACUGAGACACGGCCCAGACUCCUACGGGAGGCAGCAGUGGGGAAUUUUGGACAAUGGGGGCAACCCUGAUCCAGCCAUUCCGCGUGAGUGAAGAAGGCCUUCGGGUUGUAAAGCUCUUUUGUCCGGAACGAAACGGGCGACGUGAAUAUCGUCGUCUACUGACGGUACCGGAAGAAUAAGCACCGGCUAACUACGUGCCAGCAGCCGCGGUAAUACGUAGGGUGCGAGCGUUAAUCGGAAUUACUGGGCGUAAAGCGUGCGCAGGCGGUUUUGUAAGCCGGAUGUGAAAUCCCCGGGCUUAACCUGGGAAUGGCAUUCGGGACUGCAAGGCUGGAGUGCGGCAGAGGAGACUGGAAUUCCUGGUGUAGCAGUGAAAUGCGUAGAUAUCAGGAGGAACACCGAUGGCGAAGGCAGGUCUCUGGGCUGACACUGACGCUCAUGCACGAAAGCGUGGGGAGCAAACAGGAUUAGAUACCCUAGUAGUCC